CGGCGUGGAUUAGGUAUGCAAGUCGAACGGGAAAUCAACAGCAGAUCCUUCGGGUGACGCAGUUGACGGAACGUGGCGAACGGGUGAGUAAUGAAUGAAUAACCUGCCCUCGAGACCGGGAUAAUCCAUCGAAAGGUGGGGUAAUACCGGAUAGUACAGCUUGCUGUUAAAGGUGGCUUCGGCUAUCACUUGAGGAGGGGUUCAUUUCCUAUUAGCUUGUUGGUGAGGUAACGGCUCACCAAGGCAGAGAUGGGUAGGGGGCCUUAGCGGGUGAUCCCCCACACUGGGACUGAGACACUGCCCAGGUUCCUACGGGAGGCUGCAAUCGAGAAUCCUCCGCAAUGGGCGAAAGCCUGACGGGGUGACGCCGCGUGGACGAUGAAGGCCUAUCAGGUUGUAAAGUCCUAACAGGGAGUAUGAAAUGUAUAUCGGAUAAUACCCGGUAUACUUGACAUCAAUCCCAGAUGAAGUCACGGCUAAAUAUGUGCCAGCAGCCGCGGUAAGACAUAUGUGGCGAGCGUUGUUCGGAAUUACUGGGCAUAAAGGGCGCGCAGGCGGUAUAGUCAGUUAACUUGUGAAAUCCCCCGGCUUAACCGGGGAAUUGCGGUUAAUACUGCUAUACUUGAGUACGAGAGGGGAGAGUGGAAUUCUGGGUGUAGCGGUGGAAUGCGAAGAUAUCCAGGAGAAGGCCGGUGGCGAAAGCGACUCUCUGGUUCGAUACUGACGCUGAGGCGCGAGAGCGUAGGUAGCGAACGGGAUUAGAUACCCCGGUAGUCUACGCUGUAAAUGAUGGGCACUGGAUGGGGGGGGCGCCGAUAGCUCUCUCCGUCGAAGUUAAUGCGUUAAGUGCCCCGCCUGGGGACUACGGUCGCAAGGAUAAAACUCAAAGGAAUUGACGGGGGCCCACACAAGCGGUGGAGGAUGCGGCUUAAUUCGAGGACACGCGUAGAACCUUACCGAGGCUUGACAUGCAGGGAUUAAUCCGGCGAAAGCCGGAGGAUUACCUUACGGUGUAACCUGUACAGGUGCUGCAUGGCUGUCGACAGUUCGUGUCGUGAGAUGUUAGGUUAAGUCCUGAAACGAGCGAAACCCCUGUGCUUAAUUGCCAGCGCGUUAUGGCGGGGACAUUAAGCAGACUGCCUCGGCUAACGGGGAGGAAGGUGGGGAUGACGUCAAGUCAGCAUGGCCCUUAUGCUUCGGGCCGCACGCGUCCUACAAUGGGCAGUACAAUGGGGACCAAUCCCGCGAGGGGGAGGAAAUCCGAGAAAGCUGUCCUCAGUUCGGAUUGCAGGCUGAAACUCGCCUGCAUGAAGGUGGAAUCGCUAGUAAUCGCCGGUCAGCCAUACGGCGGUGAAUACGUCCCUGGGCCUUGUACACACCGCCCGUCAAGCCACCCGAGUUGGAUGCACUCGAAAUCCGAGACCCAACCU
rnacentral:rRNA from 1 species